GUUGAACGCUGGCGGAAUGCUUUACACAUGCAAGUCGAACGGUAGAGGGGGCAACCCCUCGAGAGUGGCGAACGGGUGAGUAAUAUAUCGGAACGUGCCCAGUCGUGGGGGAUAACGUAGCGAAAGUUACGCUAAUACCGCAUACGAUCUAAGGAUGAAAGCGGGGGAUCGCAAGACCUCGCGCGAUUGGAGCGGCCGAUAUCAGAUUAGGUAGUUGGUGGGGUAAAGGCUCACCAAGCCAACGAUCUGUAGCUGGUCUGAGAGGACGACCGGCAACACUGGAACUGAGACACGGUCCAGACUCCUACGGGAGGCGGCAGUGGGGAAUUUUGGACAAUGGACGCAAGUCUGAUCCAGCCAUUCCGCGUGCAGGAUGAAGGCCCUCGGGUUGUAAACUGCUUUUGUACGGAACGAAAAGGUCUCUCUUAAUACGGGGGACUCAUGACGGUACCGUAAGAAUAAGCACCGGCUAACUACGUGCCAGCAGCCGCCGUAACAC
rnacentral:rRNA from 1 species